UCCCUAGUGGUCCAAUGGUUAAGACUUUGUGUUCCCAAUGCAAGGGGCGAAGGUUCAAUUCCUGGUUAGGGAA
rnacentral:tRNA from 1 species